AACAUGCUGAAACAUGUGUUGACUAGUUAGUGGCAAGGGAUUUAACUGAAGAACUGGCAGUGCAAGGGGAAAUUUGGACUUCAGAGAACAAAAUUGACAGCUGAAGUAGAAGCACAUCCAACUACACCAAACAGGACAAAACUCAAAAAGAAGGUACAGCUGUAGAAGAUGUAAAGAGUGUUACCCUAUCACUAAGUGUAUGAACAGAAAAUAGACGUUAUAAAUGAAAAAUUCAAAUUUAAUUACUGCAUCUCCUACAGUACAAGAAAGAUAUUAACCUACUCCAGUGGAGGCUAUAGCAGGAAACCUGUGAAGGAGAGGCUGAGGGCACUGUGGUUUUUCAGCCUUGAAAAGGCCAAGAGAGCAGGGGGAUCUACUGCUGUCUGCAAAUACUACACAAGAGGCUACAAAGAAGAUAGAGACAGGCUUAGAUGUGCACAUGGACAGAAAAGAGGCAGCCUGCAGAAGUCAGAUCAAGAGAAAUUCUGACCAGGGAUUAGGAAAAAUCAUUUACCAUGACGGUGGUGAAACAUUGGCAGUGGAUCCCCAGAAGGCUGUGACUCCCUCAUCUUCAGAUGACAAGGUGUACAUCUGUGAACACAGUAUGCCAAAGAAAAUGGAAUAUUGAGUCUUUUCAGAAUAAUGCUGACAAAUAGCAUUGAAAUAUUUAAAAGAGAAGUGAAGAUAUUAGUUUCCAGUCUUCAGUUGAUUAAGUAGCUCAAAAGGUAAAUAGGUGUGACUAUGACAUCUUUCACUCUGUUUCUAAUAAAUCUCAAAUCAUAUAUA